AGUAUUUAUUAUGUGAACAAGACUUCGUGAGUGUAGAGAGGCAAAAAUCCUUUCUCCUUUUUCUGGUUUUCAUAUGUUUUUUUGUUCUCUUGCAUGUGCUUUCCGCUUCUUAUUCAAGAUUAUGGAGGCAAUGGGUUUUUUUUAGCAUACUUAUGUUUGGUUGGUUUAUCAUAUGCUAUAUUAUUACAAAAUUUGUACAUAAGGUUAUGGCAAUAGAUUUUUUUAGUUAUUGCUGAUUUAUGUAUGUUUUUUUUCCUUUCCUGAUUUGUUGCUUGAUUGCCUUCGAUUUUCAGAGAUGUCUGGCUUAUUACUUUUUGUUGUUUGAUUCUUCAACAAAGCUUGCCUGCUAAGAUCGUUUUAUAGGUUUAGUUUGGUAUGUUUUUGGAUUGAAGAUGAAGACAAUGAAAAGAUUUUGUGUUUUGUUGGAAGGUCUAAACAACACUAACUACGAAAAAGGUGGUGUUACAUGGGGUGGUUCAUAUAAUAAACAAACCAGUGGUUGUGGGAUAUGGUGAAUGAGUUUGUCUAUCAAUUUCAAUCCUCCUGUUAGUGUGAAUGAAAAACAAAACUAAGGCAAAACAGCAGGUGAACCAUUCAACUAUCUUCUUUCUUGGAUGACUCAUAAAUAUUACAAGAAUAUUUCCUUUUUAUCCAUUUGUAUAGUUUUUUUAAUUUCUAGCCAUACAUAUAUAUAUAUAUACACUAGAUUUAGAUCCCGCGUA